rnacentral:lncRNA from 1 species
UUUUCCCCAAGCAAACAUAGCCCUAGGGAAUUAAUUUAAAUGAUUCCUAUAGUAACACUCCAUAAAUGCUACUUUGAAAAUAAUCAUUUAUUAUAUAAUAUAAUAUUAGAAAUAUUGAUAUAGGUUAUUAGAGUACCUUCUAGCAGAGUCAUCUAAAUUUAUAAAAUAAAAAAGUGGGGCCACAUUCAGUGACAUCAGCCAGCUGAAUAUUGGACACAUGAUUUAAGGAAAAGGGGCGCAGAUGUUUUCUUGAAAGGACAUUGAGAAAUACAAGGGGCAUUGGAAGGCUGAAAGGCUUGAUAUGGAAAGUUGAAACCACCAGCCAGCCGACACUCAAGUCCAUGGUUUUGGCAUCAAAACAGUGAGAAAAUUAAAAACCCACAUCCAAAACAGCUGGCUCUUUAACUUCUUCCAAUCCCUUCUCUCCCUCUUUAUAUCAAACAUGGUUACUCACAAAACCCUCAAACCAACCCCCCACCCCCCCAUUAUCAAGUUUCAUGGCUUCUCUUGUUCUUCUCUUGUCUGAACUUCUCAAACCCCAAACCACUGACCCAUAUGCUGCAACAUCACUGCCUUCUUCAUGUUCUUCUUCUUCUUCCUCAAAUGCCAAAAGGGUGACAGCAGAGUACUCCACCAUGGUUGAUCAAGAACCCAAGGAGGAGAUGAGGGUCUCUGUGGAGCUGGUUUGGCCUUAAAAAUUGGGUUAUGGUCACAUAGUCUGUGUAUAGAGUUCUUCAACUGGUUAGUCAGCUCUGGAUAUUUGCAAUGUAAUUUUGAUUGACUGCUUCUUGUUUAUCAGCCAUUUUCAAUUUUGUUGUAUAUCUUUCUCCUCCACCCGAUCCUUUUCUUUUCUCUCGAAUCCUCCUGGAUACAUAUGGAUUGAUUCAUGGAAAUUUGUGGAAAAACAUUUAUUUAAAGAAAAUCAAUAUCAUCCAAAGGACACAUGCAAGCUUUUCGAACAUAAAAAAAAUGAAGAGAAAAUUAGAUAAGUUGGAUAAUAAAAUAAUAAAUAUUACCAAUUUAUUUUUAUUUAAAAAAUAAUCAAACAAUAAAAUGAAUUAAAAAAUGGAUUACUAUCUUCAUUAUCUUAAUUACAAGUAAAUUUUGUAAUGCCAAGACUUAUAAUGAAUCCAUCUCAAUCUUGUAAGGCUUCUUCUCCUUCAGCAUCUCUCUCACAGCUUCCCUCAAAUCCUCUUCUUCCUCUUCCCCCUCAAAACAAUCUCCCAAACCUUCAUCCUCACUCUCCAUUUUCAUCGUCCUCUCCGCUGGUCUGAUGACAAUAAGCGUUGCCCCAUUCAUCACACGCCCAGAAGCUGGCAACUCUAGGACGGGCACAUGCCACAGUUUCACACGCACUGCUGGAACCAUUGUUCUCUCCACUGGUGCUGUGGGGUUCAUGCUUCUUCUCAGCUCCUUGAAUUGUUCUUCUCCCAUGAUCAGCCUUCCUUGUUUACUCGAAUCUGAAAUCAUUACACUCUGGGGAUUCAUGGGGAUGUCUGCAAUGAUCUGUUUCAACAACCAGUGCCUUGUGGAUGCUGCAAUCAAACUUGAUAUCAUCCACACAACUCUCGUCUUCAGCUCGUCGGUUGCCGACAUGGGCUCAUGAAGUUGCUUGUGCUUUUUGUGAGAACUUGGAGUUGAGCUACUUCUAUGGAAAGAUGUUGCCCCUAGUACCACACAGCUCUCGAGUUCUCUCCCAAACUCAGCUUUCCACCUAAGGAAAUAAUCAGUACCCUUGGACCCCAGCUCGUCGCCAUGGCAAGGAAGUUGAAUACUCAGCCUCUUAAUGUUAAUGAAAUUCCUUAGAACUUCCGUGGUAAACUGGUAUGUUUCAUCUUCAUCUGAGUUCACCGACAGUUUUGGGACGACUGUUUGGUACAGGAACUGAAGCGGUUUGGUGAUGAAUUUGCCGACCAGAUACUUUAGGAAGACGAUGAAAAAAGUACCACGCUUGGGUUUGGAGUUGUUUGAAGAAGGAACUAUGAGUGAAACAUUGUCGGUUUGGGGAAUAAGGGAAGCGAAUCGCUUGGAGACCACAGAGCACCUGCAGAGGGACUUGGCGUCCAGGACCUUGUUGAAGAUGAGGGUGACAAGCUCAUCUGAGAGGCGAUCAAAAUGAUCAUCUGGGCCUUGAUCCUCAUUCAUUCCUUAAUUUCUGUCAAAGAUGAUGAAAAGGGAGUUGGUCUUCGAUCCUCUUGUUCUGGACUAGGAUUCACCUGUGCUUCCCAUAUAUAAUAUUUGUACGUCUGUCUGUGGCGGUUCCUAGAAGGCUUUCUGGGCGGUUACGCGGCCCGAAAUUAACAGGCAAAUGUCUUUGAACCAACACGUGUUCUUUUUUUUUUUUGGGUUUAUGUUUCCUUCUUUGAAUUUGCUUUCUCAGGUUUGGUGACACCGCGGCUGGAAAAAAAAAAAAAAAAACAGAAAGAAAUUGCAGAGGAUUGCUGACAUGGCAGCCUCAUCCAACUAGCCAGGAGAUGAAUGAGACCGACUGCAUAUGAAAAGUAUGCACAUUGGAUUACCCAUUAUUAUUUGUUAAUAUAUACCUACCAGUUCUAUUCAAAGUAGGCGAGAAUGGUGGUUAUGCACAUGUAUAUAAUUGGUGUGAGUCAUGACCCAGUCAUUGAUCAGAUGAUUAAUGCGGUUGGGACCAGGGCAUUUCCCUCUUCUCUGGCAGCUGAAAACAGCCCAAACCUUCUCCUAAGUCAAUUUUACCAAGGUUUAGCAAGGGUUUAAGUGCUUUCUUAACCAAAAGUUUGUUUUGUCAUUAACAAUUGACGAAGAAUA